CAGCAGCCGCGGUAAUACGUUGGUGGCAAGCGUUGUCCGGAAUUAUUGGGCGUAAAGGGCUCGCAGGCGGUUUCUUAAGUCUGAUGUGAAAGCCCCCGGCUCAACCGGGGAGGGUCAUUGGAAACUGGGAAACUUGAGUGCAGAAGAGGAGAGUGGAAUUCCACGUGUAGCGGUGAAAUGCGUAGAGAUGUGGAGGAACACCAGUGGCGAAGGCGACUCUCUGGUCUGUAACUGACGCUGAGGAGCGAAAGCGUGGGGAGCGAACAGGAUUAGAUACCCCCGUAGUCCCUGUCUCUUAUAC
rnacentral:rRNA from 1 species